GGUCUCCGUUGGUGAACCAGCGGAGGGAUCAUUACCGAGUUUCAACUCCCAAACCCCUGUGAACAUACCUAUACGUUGCCUCGGCGGAUCAGCCCGCGCCCCGUAAAACGGGACGGCCCGCCCGAGGACCCCUAAACUCUGUUUUUAGUGGAACUUCUGAGUAAAACAAACAAAUAAAUCAAAACUUUCAACAACGGAUCUCUUGGUUCUGGCAUCGAUGAAGAACGCAGCAAAAUGCGAUAAGUAAUGUGAAUUGCAGAAUUCAGUGAAUCAUCGAAUCUUUGAACGCACAUUGCGCCCGCCAGUAUUCUGGCGGGCAUGCCUGUUCGAGCGUCAUUUCAACCCUCAAGCUCAGCUUGGUGUUGGGACUCGCGGUAACCCGCGUUCCCCAAAUCGAUUGGCGGUCACGUCGAGCUUCCAUAGCGUAGUAAUCAUACACCUCGUUACUGGUAAUCGUCGCGGCCACGCCGUUAAACCCCAACUUCUGAAUGUUGACCUCGGAUCAGGUAGGAAUACCCGCUGAACUUAAGCAU
rnacentral:rRNA from 3 species